UAUGGUUUUAACUCAGCUCAUCUUUAACUAACUGGCCUGUAUUAAUGUAGAAAAGGCCCAAAGUUACAUCAUAUAUGUUCAUUGUGUGACGUUUGUAGAUGUAGUGUUGGUCGGCUCUCUUUGGGACGGCUCCCUCUGCUGGCUGAUUCCGGUAACUGGCGGCAUUCAGACAGUGGAUGUUCCGGCAGAGUGAGUGAAGCUUCGGGUUAAACAGCUAAUUACCGUCACGGUUAGCGGUCUGUGCGUGGGUGCAAUAGAACCACGUGGGCUUUUAAUGGGCUUUAGUUGGAAUAAGAUACUGAUGGUUCCUGUGGAGACACAGUGGAGCAGCGAUCAGCACUAUAACCUACAACCCUCCAAAAGAAUGAGCCUCAUCACACUCAUUACAGAUAAUAACAGCUGCUGUUGAGGAUCAUGUAGCUUCAGUUUGUGCUGGUGAAGCACUGGUAUCUGCCCUGGUCCUGAACCUCCACCCCUGUCAGCUGGAGUGAGGCGUCUCCUCUGGAGAUCUGGUCCUUGAACAAUGAUGUUCGGUUUCUGAAGCUCUGGUCCUGGUGGUGGAGCUGGUCUUGGUUGUUGUAGUAGGAGUGGACAUGAAGGUUUCCUGCUUUCAGCUGAAUCCAGUCGAUUUCCACAUCAGGACCGACCUGGAAGCUGCACGGUAAGAUGCAGCUCUCCAUGGAAGCACAGGAGACGUCAGUGUCUGUAACAUGAAGGUUGAACAGAUGAAUGUGAUUGCUGCCCCCCCACAGUCUGAUACAGAAGGCCUGAAGUAAAGAGACUUGACUAAUGAAUGAAGGUAUCAGGCUGAACCAGCUGUGUGUGUUUGGAAAGGUGUGAUCAUGUGAGUAGACUGACGACCUUUGACUCUAAAUUUCAUUUCACUUCAUCUCAACAAAGUUGGAUUAACUGGUUGGUUUCAAAGUUACAUCUGAUGGAAGCUUCUGCUCGAAGCCACAGAGUCGAGCUUUUAUCACAGUUUCUUGUUAUAACAUGAAAACUUGUUCUGUUAUAAAGACAAAAGUUAAUUUUAACGACAUGCUGGUUUUGUGAAAUAAUGAAAAAGUUUUGUGAUAU